GGCGAUAGAGUUUUCACUUACAAUGAAAAAUACCUUUUGGGCGUCUUUAUAGGUUUACCGAGUAUACCA
rnacentral:tRNA from 1 species